CAGGGCGGCCCGGCCGCUGACGCGGCUCCCCGCGCGGGCACAGUCCGGAGGCCCCGCUGCCCUCCCUGCAACCGCAACCAGCCGCCCGGGCUGGCGGCGUUUGGCGGGCCGGGCGCUCACUCGCCUCAGACCUUUCAGGCGCCGCUUUCCCGCGCGGACGGUGCGCACCGUGAGCUGUCGCCCGUCACUUCAGUAGCCCGGGACUGGGGUCACUUUGCAAAGGCGCUGCUGCGCCCCCAGCGGCGCCCCCGCCCGGGGACAUCGGGGGCCUUUUGCUCCGGGCUGGGAGUGUUGGGAAGAUGGUGGCUCCGUCCCGGGGGCGUUGUGUGCGGCAGCGACGUCGCCGGUCACAAGCCAGUUACUGCCGCGCCCACGCUGCUGCCCGGGAAGGGGGUGGCUCCAGCGCCCGGGAGACGGAAGUUCCCCAAUACAAUUAUCCUUUUGAAGAUGAUAUACUUGUCUCUAUGGAAUCAUUGACUUAUGAUACACCCAUUGGACCACAGCUAUGGGGUGAUAUGUCAGAAAAAAACAUUAAUGAAUGGAAGAAAAAACUACAUAAGAGGGCCACACAAUGUCAAAAAAUCACAGAAUCACGAAAGCAAUGGAUCUCUGAUUUUGAAGAUGAAGAUUUAAAAGUACAUCAGGAACCUGCUAGGAAAUCCUUUAUAGACUCCUAUGAAGAGAUUCAAGUUGCUGACACAGAUACCGAAAGCGAAGCUGAUUUGGUUUCGAUUAGAAGAAAAUUUGAAAAUGUUAACCUGAAGGAGGACAUUCGACUUCUAAACCCUUCUGAGCUGGAAAUGAGAGAGAAAGUCAGAGUUCGUGUGGAUGUGAUAGUACAAGAUGAUGAAAGAAACAUCCCUAAAUGGAUUAUGGUUGCACCUGAAGAAAAAUCAAAGCGUCUCCACGUAACAUCUCCAUGGCAAGACUUGAUGGGUAUGACUAAAUCUCCAGUUGCAGAUAAGAUAACUGUACCCAGACAUAUACCUUUUCUGGAAAAAAAUGAAACGGGCUAUGAUAGCUUCAUGGAAGAGUACCAGUCUGCAAAUGAAGAAUGUUCCUGGAACAACGUCACACUUGCAGAUUUGUAUCCAGGAAUGGUGGAGACACUUAGCAAGUUGAUGAACAAACACUCUCAGAAAAAAGCAGCUGAUUCCAUAAUCAGACACUACAAAUACAGAGGAUGGCCUCCUAGAAAAUCAAAGCUUAAUGUCACCAUAGAAAGAAUAAGAAGGUUCAGGACAUCUAAAUUGAAGCCUAUGCUGCCUAACACAAAUAGUAAUGAUCAUAAAUUGCCUGUUCGAAAUAAUUUAAAUGAAAGUAACCAGCUUCUUCAGGAUGGCAAAUGUCCGACACAGUGUGUGACUAAUGGUGAAUCUGGUGUGGUAUCUUACCCACAUGUUAAUACGACUGAAAUGGAAAUAGAUUGGCCUCAAAAUUUAGAAGAUAAUUCAUACAUUCAAAGAAUAGACCAAAACAUCUCAGAUUCUGUUUUUCCAAAUGUUACUGCUAGAACAGAAGAAACAUUUUUAACUGAGGGUCCAUCUCAGACCACCAUGACAUUACAUGACUCAAAAGGCAGCCCAAAUGGGAAGCUGCCUGAAGUACUUUCUCUGGGAUGCUCUUCUGUAACUUGCACAACAUCUCCUUGUCUCGUGAAAGAGAGCAAGAAUGGCAAAAUUGACAAUAUAGUUUUCGAUGGUACAUCAGGGUUCCACUUGUCCACUUGCAACUUGAAUGGUGAUGCUAAUACCUUUCCACCACUUAACAGCUAUUCUCUAGUAAGAACAUCAAAUGCAUUAAUCAGAAAUCCUGAAAUAAAAACUUUCAGGGGAGGUGUUUCACUGCAGCGCAGUCAUUCUUUUUCCUCACUUCCUGUGAAUCAAAGUCCAGUCAAGACUCGCCAGAAAUGUGAAGAAGAAUUUGAAAAACUUUACCAGAAGCUGUGCCCCAAAGAACUUCAGAAACCUCUUAAGAUUAGAAAGCCUCCUUCAAACCCUAAAGAAAAAGAGAGACUAAUCAAGUCCUACUUCUGUAAUUCUGUAAAGUCUCAUAAAAAAUAUGAUAGUGCAUUUGACGAGGUUUAUCAGAGAUUGUGUUCCGAAGGGUUUCCAAAACUGCCCACGUUUCUCAGAGCUUCGAACUUACGGAAAUAUGAAGGCAUACAGAUGUCAGAAACUGUAAAUGCUUUAAUUAACUCACCCAUACGAACGUUACCUGCAGUUACCAGAAUUAAAAGAGUAGCAGAUUUCCACAAUGAAGAUCUUUUGUCUUCACCUGUAAAGAGACUGAAAAAUAUACCUGAAGAUUUUUUUCCUAGAGCCAGUAAUCAGUCUCCUCAUCGAAAAAAUAUUAAUCCUCAGACAACUGGCCUGGAUUUCUCAAGUGUGAUGGAUGGGAUUGUUCCUGGCAUAUUUGAUGGCCCUAAUUGUCAAAGUCAGUCAUCUGAAAACUUUGAUUCUGGGUUUCAUACGUCUUCAAAUCACACUUUUCCGGUUAGUCCAAGUAUUUUUGUGCAAGUCCUUGGCUAUGUCUCAAAAUGUGUCUUUCCAGAGAUCACCAAGAAGGGCUUCCUGGACCACAGCUUGAGAGUUUUUGGAGUGUUUUACUUUUUUUCUUUGGAUAAGAUCUGAAUUUUCUUCUUAAAGUUUCAUUUAAUAAAUACUGGUGUUUCUUCAAGUGCUUGCUCAUAUCAAUUCCAAUUAGAUGUGCGCACGCCGCAUGCACAGCCAUCGGAGAAUUUUUACCCUAGUAACACCCGGUGGGUCGGCUGUGGAACCCCCUGGAGUGGCGCCUUCAUGGCGCUGGAUAUAUACCCCUGGCAACCCAGUGCCCCCUCAGUUCCUUCUUACCGCCCGUGACGGUCGUUGGAACUGUGGAGCUUGGCUUUGCUACUCUCCACUCUCCCUAGCGUUCACCCUACAGUUUGUUCAUAGUUUGUUGUUAUAGUAUUGUUAUAGAUUAACAGCUGUAGUUCUAGGUUUCAGAGUAGCAGCCGUGUUAGUCUGCAUUCGCAAAAGGAAAAGGAGUACUUGUGGCACCUUAGAGACUAACAAAUUUAUUUGAGCAUAAGCUUUCGUGAGCUACAGCUCACUUCAUUGGAUGCAUUCAUUUGUAGUUCUAGUUAUAGUAUAGUAGUUUGUAUUAGUGGGGGAGAAGGGGUUUUCCCCUCCUUCCUGUACUUGAUUGGGCUCAUGCCCAAAGCUCCGGGCUUUAAGCCCUGCAGAUCCUGCUCCAAGCCCAUGCCAACGGGCGACUCCCACGACUCUUGUCUGAAGUGCCUGAGGGAAUCUCAUCAGGCGGAGAGGUGCAGGAUUUGCAAGAGCUUUCGUCCCCGGACUAAGAAGGAGCGGGACUUUCGUUUGAGACAGCUCCUUAUGGAGGAGGCUCUUAGUACUCAGCCUCCAGCAGCGUGACAAGACCCGGUGCCGAGCACUUCAGUACGCAGCGCCCCGGCUUUAGUUACAGGAACGGUACCGCAGUCAGACGCUGAUAGAGAGCCACAGCACCGAAGUUCCCCGGCACCGCAACCAACGUCUUUAGUCCAGCACUGCUCUCACUCGCCUGGCCAGAACCUCGUUCCACAGCAGAGCGCCCAGGGACACAAGUGACGGCCUCGGCACUGUUGACUCCGGCACCGAAAACGAAGCAGUUGAGUCCAGUGUGACUGGACUCCCCGACUCGCAGCAUGGUUGAGGUCCAGUUGCCAUCUACACCAGAUACCUUUGUGGCGGCAACGGAUCUGAUUGCCUUGACUGUGUCAACAUCCCUUCAACUGGCCAAGGCACCGCCACCUGUCCGCAUGACACCAUCUAGGGGCAAACAGACUCUUAUUCACCUGCCAGCACCAUCGGUUGAGCCUCAGUACUGUUUCCACUCUUGGCGCCGUUCCUGCUCCCAGCGCUGUUCGCAGUCCCGGCACCACUCUCCAUCGCGGCGUUGGUUGUACUCGCUGCACUGCUCCGACUCCUGGCACCGGUCUCGACACAGGAGUAGAUACCGUUCCUGAUGGCUGUCAUCAUCGUCGAGACCCAGGUCCAGAUCCAGGCGCCGGUCCAGGUCCUGAUACUGAUCUAGGUCCAGACGCCGCUCCCCAGUGUCGUGGCACCGUUCUUCUCCAUCUCGGCACCGAUUGGUACAGCGAAGCUGGAGAUCAGUUUCGUCUCGUCAACAUGAUUCAGCACAGACCCACUCGGCACCACCAUGACCAUUGUGUUCCACCUCUCACGCAUCAGGGUCUGAGGCAGGGUCACGCUUCUCAGACUGCCACCACUUGGAUCACAGCCGCCUGGGCUCGGGCAGAUCAGUGGCAGGCGCAAGAACAGGGCCCCACUCAAGGGUCCACCCAGUAGCCCUUUUGGACACCUUGGGUGUACCACCAGGCCCAGGGUGCUCCCUCUGAGGCUCUCACUCAGCCCUGUCUGAGCCGCGAGUGCCUGAGGCCUCUGCCAGCUGUCCUGCUCCCAGAGGCAUGGAGACGGUGGCAUUGCCCUUACAGGCACCAGUUCCUCGUACUCCAGCUCCCGGCCUGAACACUGAGUUUGCGGGUCCGGAGCAGUGGGGCACAGCUCAGCAAGAGGCUCUGGAUGAUCCUGUCCCUUCUGUGGCAUCCUCCUCAUCUUCACCCGAUGAGGCUGUGGCGAGGACUGCUAUAACGGAGUCAGCCCCCCCAUCCUUCCCCGAUAGACCUCCGCGCCCACCAGGAACUCUUGCACAGGGUGGCGCGGAACAUUAACCUGCAAGCACAGGAGGUGGUUGAGGUGGAGGACCCUGUGGUUGACAUUUUGUCCGCAGAGGCUCAUCCAAGGGCACAGCAAAGAGCAGGUGCAGGCUCACCUUCAAUUCGUCACAGACACGUUGCAACAGUUAGGCCUUCUGCUUAACGUGGCGAAGUCAACACUAGAACUGACCCAGAGGAUAGAAUUUAUCGGGGCGGUCCUCGACUCCAUGCGGGCUUGAGCCCUCCUUCCAGAUGCUCGCUUCCAAGCCUUGUCAGGCCUCAUCAGGAGCCUUCAGAUCUUCCCAACCUCGAUGCCCUCUUCAAGUCUGGAUGGCAUCAGUCUACCGCCCAGGUCGAGACAGCCUGAACCUGGUGGUCACCAUUCCGGAGGGGGUCCUGGCCUCCUUCCAGUGGUGGCUAGACCCAAGGGCAGUCGGCGGAGGAGGCCCCUUCGACACUCAGCCUUCCUUGUCCCUCAUCACGGACGCGUCAGUCCUGGGAUGGGGCGCCCGCCUCGGGGACCUCCAGACGCAAGGUCUAUGGGCCCCGUCCGAUCUCUCUCUUCAUAUCAACGUACGGGAGCUGAUGGCGGUGUGUCUUGCGUGCCAAGCCUUUUGGGAGCAGUUGCAUGGUUGUUGCAUGGCGUUCGUCACAGACAACACCAUGGCCAUAUUCUACAUCAACAAGUUGGGCGGGGGAGCCUCAUUUCUUCCCCCUCUGUCAAGGGGCCAUUCGACUGUGGAAAUUCUGCAUAGCCCACUCCAUUCACCUGAUGGCGUCGUUUCUCCCAGGGGUCCAGAACAUGUUGGCGGACCACCUCAGCAGGUCCUUCCAAUCCCACGACUGGUCACUCCGCCCCAAUGUCAUCCACUCCAUCUUCCUAAAGUGGGGGUUUCCCCAGGCUGACCUGUUUGCCUCAUGCAGCAACCAGAAAUGCCUGGCAUUUUGCUCCCUUCACGGCCGCUCCCCGGGCUCUCUCACAGAUGCCUUCCUACUCCUGUAGACUAGCAGGUUGUUUUACGCCUUCCCGCUGUUUCCCCUUGUACACAAGGUCUUGCUCAAGGUGUGCAGGGACAGAUCAUGACUGAUUCUGGUUGCCCGGGCGUGGCCCAGGCAGCAUUGGUACACCACACUGUUGGAGAUUUCGGUGGACGCCUCAGUUCUGCUGUCUUUUUUUCCGGACCUGAUCACUCAGGAUCACGGCUGCCUCUGUCACCCCAACUAACAAUCCCUCCACCUCACGGCAUGGAUGCUGCAUGGCUGAGCCACUCUGAGCUACUCUGCUCUCAUUUAGUACAGCAGGAUGGGUAGCAGGAAACCUUCCACUCGGGCCUCAUAUAUGGCUAAAUGGAAACGAUUCUCAUGCUGGUGCACUCACCACAGCACACCCCCCUCCUCCCCUCCCCAGGCGUCCAUGCCUCUCAUUUUGGACUGUCUCCUGAGCCUGAAACAGCAGGGCCUGGCGAUAUCAUCCAUUAGUGUCCACCUGGCGGCCAUUUCAGCUUUCCACCCGGGAGCGAAUGGCCGAUCUGUCUUUGCCAAUUCCACGGUCAGUAUGUGCCUUGAGGGCCUGGACCGUCUCUACUCACAGGUAUGACAGCCAGUCCCCAGGACCUGAAUCUGGUCUUCUCCAGGCUCAAUUGGGACCCGGUUCGAGCCGUUGGCCACCUGUUCCCUCCUGUACCUCUCUUGGAAAACGGCUUUCCUCGUCGCUAUCACAUCAGUAAGGCGUGUAUCUGAGCUCAGGGCUCUUACCUCAGAACCACCAUACACGAUCUUCCGUAAGGACAAGGUGCAGCUAUGAUCUCACCUGGCCUUUCUUCCCAAGGUGGUAUCCACCUUUCAUAUCAACAAGGACAUUUUUCCUCCCAGUUUUUUACCCAAAACGCACGCUUCUCUUCAGGAACAACGGCUACAUCCCCUAGAUGUUCGUAGGGCCCUGGCCUUCUACACUGAGUGUACAAAGCCGUUCAGGAAAACGACCCAGCUCUUCGUCGCAGUGGUGGAAUGGAUGAAGGGCCUCCCGGUCUCCUCCCAGCGGAUCUCCUCUUGGAUCACUUCCUGUGUCCGUGCUUGCUACGAUCUGGCUGGUGUUUUGACCCUGCCACUCACCGCUCACUCUACAAGGGCUCAGGCCUCAGCGGCAACUUUCCUGGCCCAGGUCCCAAUCCAGGAGAUCUGCAGAGCUGUUACUUGGUCUUCGGUAUAUACUUUUACCACUCACUAUGUCAUCGUCUGAAAAGCCAGAGACGAUGCGACGUUUGGUAGAGCAGUCCUACAAUCCACAGUACUUCACUCCGACCCCACCGCCUAGGUAAGGCUUGGGAGUCACCUAAUUGGAAUCAAUAUGAGCAAGCACUCGAAAAGAAGACAGUUACUCAUUUUUUUUAACCGUUGUUCUUCGAGAUGUGUUGCCCAUAUCUAUUCCAAACCCGCCCUCCUUCCCCUCCAUCGGAGUAGCCGGCAAGAAGGAGCUGAGGGGGCGUUGGAUCGGCUGGGGUAUAUAUCUAGCACUGUGAAGGCGCCACUCUAGGGGGCUCCACGGCUGACCCGCCAGGAGGUGCUAGGGUAAAAAUUCUCUGGCCGUGCACACGGCGCGCACACACCUAAUUGGAACGAAUGAGCAACACCUCUCGAAGAACAACAAUUACAAAGAAUCCAGGAUUGCAAAUAUCUAUGCAAGUAUCCCUAGGACAUUGCAAAAUAAUGGCUCAUCCAGAAGUGCACAAAAAUAUUAACAAAGG